CCUACGGGAGGCAGCAGUGAGGAAUAUUGGUCAAUGGGCGCGAGCCUGAACCAGCAAAGUAGCGUGAAGGAUGGCUGCCCUACGGGUUGUAAACUUCUUUUAUAAAGGAAUAAAGUGAGGCGUGUGUGCCUUUUUGUAUGUAGUUUAUGAAUUAGCAGCGGCUAACUCCGUGCGAGCAGCCGCGGUAAUACGUAGGAUCCGAGCGUUAUCCGGAUUUAUUGGGUUUAAAGGGAGCGUAGAGGGUAUGUUAAGUCAGUUGUGAAAGUUUGCUGCUCAACCGUAAAAUUGCAUUUGAUACUGGCAGUCUUGAGUACAGUUGAGGUAGUCGGAAUUCGUGGUGUAGCGGUGAAAUGCUUAGAUAUCACGAAGAACUCCGAUUGCGAAGGCAGCUUACUAAACUGCCACUGACAUUGAUGCUCGAAAGUGUGGGUAUCAAACAGGAUUAGAUACCCGAGUAGUC
rnacentral:rRNA from 1 species